GGACGAACGCUGGCGGCGUGCUUAACACAUGCAAGUCGAACGGAAAGGCCCUGCUUUUGUGGGGUGCUCGAGUGGCGUACGGGUGAGUAACACGUGAGUAACCUGCCCUUGACUUUGGGAUAACUUCAGGAAACUGGGGCUAAUACCGGAUAGGAGCUCCUGCUGCAUGGUGGGGGUUGGAAAGUUUCGGCGGUUGGGGAUGGACUCGCGGCUUAUCAGCUUGUUGGUGGGGUAGUGGCUUACCAAGGCUUUGACGGGUAGCCGGCCUGAGAGGGUGACCGGCCACAUUGGGACUGAGAUACGGCCCAGACUCCUACGGGAGGCAGCAGUGGGGAAUAUUGCACAAUGGGCGGAAGCCUGAUGCAGCAACGCCGCGUGCGGGAUGACGGCCUUCGGGUUGUAAACCGCUUUCGCCUGUGACGAAGCGUGAGUGACGGUAAUGGGUAAAGAAGCACCGGCUAACUACGUG
rnacentral:rRNA from 1 species